UACGAAGGGGGCUAGCGUUGCUCGGAAUUACUGGGCGUAAAGGGCGCGUAGGCGGCACUGUUAGUCAGGGGUGAAAUCCUGGAGCUCAACUCCAGAACUGCCUUUGAUACUGAAGAUCUUGAGUUCGGGAGAGGUGAGUGGAACUGCGAGUGUAGAGGUGAAAUUCGUAGAUAUUCGCAAGAACACCAGUGGCGAAGGCGGCUCACUGGCCCGAUACUGACGCUGAGGCACGAAAGCGUGGGGAGCAAACAGG
rnacentral:rRNA from 1 species